GUCUCUGUAGUGCAAUUGAUAGCACGUUGGACUUUCAAUCCGAAGGUCAUGGGUUCGAAUCCCAUCUGGCGUG